GCGGGCGUGGUUUAGUGGCAGAACGCGACCUUCCCAAGGUUGAAGUGCGGGUUCGAUUCCCGCCGCCCGCUCCA
rnacentral:tRNA from 2 species